GAGUGGCGAACGGGUGAGUAAUAUAUCGGAACGUACCAUUCAGUGGGGGAUAACGUAGCGAAAGUUACGCUAAUACCGCAUAUUCUGUGAGCAGGAAAGCAGGGGAUCGCAAGACCUUGCGCUGAUUGAGCGGCCGAUAUCAGAUUAGCUUGUUGGUGAGGUAAAAGCUCACCAAGGCGACGAUCUGUAGCGGGUCUGAGAGGAUGAUCCGCCACACUGGAACUGAGACACGGUCCAGACUCCUACGGGAGGCAGCAGUGGGGAAUUUUGGACAAUGGGGGCAACCCUGAUCCAGCCAUGCCGCGUGAGUGAAGAAGGCCUUCGGGUUGUAAAGCUCUUUCAGCCGGGAAGAAAACGCAUGGGUUAAUACCCUGUGUGGAUGACGGUACCGGAAUAAGAAGCACCGGCUAACUACGUGCCAGCAGCCGCGGUAAUACGUAGGGUGCGAGCGUUAAUCGGAAUUACUGGGCGUAAAGCGUGCGCAGGCGGUUUUGUAAGACAGGCGUGAAAUCCCCGGGCUUAACCUGGGAACUGCGUUUGUGACUGCAAGGCUAGAGUACGGCAGAGGGGGGUGGAAUUCCACGUGUAGCAGUGAAAUGCGUAGAGAUGUGGAGGAACACCAAUGGCGAAGGCAGCCCCCUGGGUCGAUACUGACGCUCAUGCACGAAAGCGUGGGUAGCAAACAGGAUUAGAUACCCUGGUAGUCCACGCCCUAAACGAUGUCAACUAGGUGUUGGGAGGGUAAAACCUUUUAGUACCGGAGCUAACGCGUGAAGUUGACCGCCUGGGGAGUACGGCCGCAAGGUUAAAACUCAAAGGAAUUGACGGGGACCCGCACAAGCGGUGGAUGAUGUGGAUUAAUUCGAUGCAACGCGAAAACCUUACCUACCCUUGACAUGCCAAGAACUUUCCAGAGAUGGAUUGGUGCCCGAAAGGGAACUUGGACACAGGUGCUUCAUGGCUGUCGUCAGCUCGUGUCGUGAGAUGUUGGGUUAAGUCCCGCAACGAGCGCAACCCUUGUCGUUAAUUGCCAUCAUUUAGUUGGGCACUUUAACGAGACUGCCGGUGACAAACCGGAGGAAGGUGGGGAUGACGUCAAGUCCUCAUGGCCCUUAUGGGUAGGGCUUCACACGUCAUACAAUGGUCGGUACAAAGGGUCGCCAAGCCGCGAGGUGGAGCCAAUCCCAGAAAGCCGAUCGUAGUCCGGAUCGCAGUCUGCAACUCGACUGCGUGAAGUCGGAAUCGCUAGUAAUCGUGGAUCAGAAUGUCACGGUGAAUACGUUCCCGGGUCUUGUACACACCGCCCGUCAC
rnacentral:rRNA from 1 species